rnacentral:tRNA from 1 species
CAUUAAGAAGCUUAAAUGAAAGCAGGAGUCUCUUAAACUCUUGAUGAUAAUAUUAUCAACUAUCCUUAAUGA